GAUGAACGCUGGCGGCGUGCCUAACACAUGCAAGUCGAGCGAUUCUCUUCGGAGAAGAGCGGCGGACGGGUGAGUAACGCGUGGGUAACCUGCCCUGUACACACGGAUAACAUACCGAAAGGUAUGCUAAUACGAGAUAAUAUGCUUUUAUCGCAUGGUAGAAGUAUCAAAGCUUUUGCGGUACAGGAUGGACCCGCGUCUGAUUAGCUAGUUGGUAAGGUAACGGCUUACCAAGGCGACGAUCAGUAGCCGACCUGAGAGGGUGAUCGGCCACAUUGGAACUGAGACACGGUCCAAACUCCUACGGGAGGCAGCAGUGGGGAAUAUUGCACAAUGGGCGAAAGCCUGAUGCAGCAACGCCGCGUGAGCGAUGAAGGCCUUCGGGUCGUAAAGUUCUGUCCUCAAGGAAGAUAAUGACGGUACUUGAGGAGGAAGCCCCAGCUAACUACGUG
rnacentral:rRNA from 1 species